ensembl:lncRNA
CGGCGGCGGCCGCGGCCGGAGCUCUGGGGAGGAAGCUGCUUCCUGGAGGGGGCGCACACUCCCCAGAGAUCGCCAUUUGCUGACCUGAAGUCUUUUCUUGCCUCUCAGCCGGUGGAGUGGGGUACCUCUCUAUCCUACCCCAGGGGGAUGCCGGUCGCCUGAGGAGCCCCCAGCCCAGACCUCAGUGGUCCUCACCUUGCACAUUUCUUAACCCCACAAAGCCCCUAAUCCCGAGGAGCCCUGGACCCGUUUCCGCAAGAAGUUUCUUCCUGUCAUCCAUCCCCAGGAGUGCCCCGUUUAAACUCCUGAGCCUCCCUCGCCCCUAACGCCUUGUCCCAGGUCUCACUCCGCAACCCGAGGAGUCCCCUAGCCGCCACCCCGGGGACCCAGCCCCUCCUCUCCAACUGCUUUCCUCUGCAGGCCUCGCCAAUGCCUCCUAAACAGCUUUGCGCUCCUUGAGACCCUCAUCUUCGUAGGGCGGGAGACCCUUCCUCUUUGGGUCACCCGAUCCACCCGACUCUCUUCCUUUGAGCGGCGUGAAGGCAGAGGUGCUACGUCUCAGGGAUCACAGAGCUUGUGGGGAAUGAUCUAUUGAAACAUCAACACUGCCAAUCUGGCUGGAGCCAGAGUGUGCGAAGAUAACUCACUUUUUAUCGUGUGCUUAUUAUGUGCCAGGUAGUGUUCUAAAUUCUCCUUGUUCCAAGUUCCUAGCUAGGGAAUUACCUGAUCCUUCUCCAACCCUCCUGUACUCACCUCACCUGGUUCUUUCUCUUCCCAGUUUCUCACUGUGGGGAAUAUCUAGGAUUCUUGUUGAGGAUGUUCUCUUUUUGUAUAUGAUUUCUUGCACAGCCACAUCCCCAAGAAGAUUCCCCAGAGGGCAGGGAUUCAAAGGUAAUUCAUAGAGUGUUUUACACAUUUCUUUUCGGAGUUUCCCACCUUUCUAUCAUUCUCAUGCCGUCUCAUGAGAUACACAAGCAGAGUUUCAUAAGCAAACUCUGCUUGCAUAUGAGAUAUAUCUAUCUCAUGCUGCUCUCUCCACUUAUGCUGUUUUUUCCUUGCCACUGCCUCCCCCAGCCAUACCACUAUCCCCCCAUACUUUCCAUCCUGCAUGUCUCUUUACCUGCUGUUUGAGGUUCUUGAUUACAACAGCUAGAACCAAUCAGUCAACCACUACCAUCCAUUAGGUUGUAUUCAAG